AGUAACGCGUGAGGAACCUGCCUCAAAGAGGGGGACAACAGUUGGAAACGACUGCUAAUACCGCAUAAGCCCACAGCUCGGCAUCGAGCAGAGGGAAAAGGAGCAAUCCGCUUUGAGAUGGCCUCGCGUCCGAUUAGCUAGUUGGUGAGGUAACGGCCCACCAAGGCGAUGAUCGGUAGCCGGACUGAGAGGUUGAACGGCCACAUUGGGACUGAGACACGGCCCAG
rnacentral:rRNA from 1 species